rnacentral:rRNA from 1 species
GAUGAACGCUGGCGGCGUGCCUAAUACAUGCAAGUCGAGCGAACGGACGAGAAGCUUGCUUCUCUGAUGUUAGCGGCGGACGGGUGAGUAACACGUGGAUAACCUACCUAUAAGACUGGGAUAACUUCGGGAAACCGGAGCUAAUACCGGAUAAUAUUUUGAACCGCAUGGUUCAAAAGUGAAAGACGGUCUUGCUGUCACUUAUAGAUGGAUCCGCGCUGCAUUAGCUAGUUGGUAAGGUAACGGCUUACCAAGGCAACGAUGCAUAGCCGACCUGAGAGGGUGAUCGGCCACACUGGAACUGAGACACGGUCCAGACUCCUACGGGAGGCAGCAGUAGGGAAUCUUCCGCAAUGGGCGAAAGCCUGACGGAGCAACGCCGCGUGAGUGAUGAAGGUCUUCGGAUCGUAAAACUCUGUUAUUAGGGAAGAACAUAUGUGUAAGUAACUGUGCACAUCUUGACGGUACCUAAUCAGAAAGCCACGGCUAACUACGUGCCAGCAGCCGCGGUAAUACGUAGGUGGCAAGCGUUAUCCGGAAUUAUUGGGCGUAAAGCGCGCGUAGGCGGUUUUUUAAGUCUGAUGUGAAAGCCCACGGCUCAACCGUGGAGGGUCAUUGGAAACUGGAAAACUUGAGUGCAGAAGAGGAAAGUGGAAUUCCAUGUGUAGCGGUGAAAUGCGCAGAGAUAUGGAGGAACACCAGUGGCGAAGGCGACUUUCUGGUCUGUAACUGACGCUGAUGUGCGAAAGCGUGGGGAUCAAACAGGAUUAGAUACCCUGGUAGUCCACGCCGUAAACGAUGAGUGCUAAGUGUUAGGGGGUUUCCGACCCUUAGUGCUGCAGCUAACGCAUUAAGCACUCCGCCUGGGGAGUACGACCGCAAGGUUGAAACUCAAAGGAAUUGACGGGGACCCGCACAAGCGGUGGAGCAUGUGGUUUAAUUCGAAGCAACGCGAAGAACCUUACCAAAUCUUGACAUCCUUUGACAACUCUAGAGAUAGAGCCUUCCCCUUCGGGGGACAAAGUGACAGGUGGUGCAUGGUUGUCGUCAGCUCGUGUCGUGAGAUGUUGGGUUAAGUCCCGCAACGAGCGCAACCCUUAAGCUUAGUUGCCAUCAUUAAGUUGGGCACUCUAAGUUGACUGCCGGUGACAAACCGGAGGAAGGUGGGGAUGACGUCAAAUCAUCAUGCCCCUUAUGAUUUGGGCUACACACGUGCUACAAUGGACAAUACAAAGGGCAGCGAAACCGCGAGGUCAAGCAGAUCCCAUAAAGUUGUUCUCAGUUCGGAUUGUAGUCUGCAACUCGACUACAUGAAGCUGGAAUCGCUAGUAAUCGUAGAUCAGCAUGCUACGGUGAAUACGUUCCCGGGUCU